rnacentral:lncRNA from 1 species
UUGGGCCCUACUCCCCCGACUUCCACUCCCGUGCGGGUGGGGGUCUCGCCCCCUUAGUAACCUCUCCGAAAUUGACAGAAGAGAAACGCUGGGGAGGGGCGGUGUUCCGAAGAUGGGAUUUCAGGGAGAAAAUCUGAGACCACUUGCUUAACUUGAGGGUCCUCCUCGACCCCCAAAAUUGAGCGGAGUACGAGAUGGAGAAGUCGAUGGGGAAAGAAAUCGCGCCCCUUCCGAGACCCUCCUCAGAAUUCCCACAGUGGGAGCGAACUAG